AGCAGUCUGAUGGAGCACGCCGCGUGAGUGAGAAGGGUUUCGGCUCGUAAAGCUCUGUUGGUAGUGAAGAAAGAUAGAGGUAGUAACUGGCCUUUAUUUGACGGUAAUUACUUAGAAAGUCACGGCUAACUACGUGCCAGCAGCCGCGGUAAUACGUAGGUGGCAAGCGUUGUCCGGAUUUAUUGGGCGUAAAGCGAGUGCAGGCGGUUCAAUAAGUCUGAUGUGAAAGCCUUCGGCUCAACCGGAGAAUUGCAUCAGAAACUGUUGAACUUGAGUGCAGAAGAGGAGAGUGGAACUCCAUGUGUAGCGGUGGAAUGCGUAGAUAUAUGGAAGAACACCAGUGGCGAAGGCGGCUCUCUGGUCUGCAACUGACGCUGAGGCUCGAAAGCAUGGGUAGCGAACAGGAUUAGAUACC
rnacentral:rRNA from 1 species